rnacentral:rRNA from 1 species
AGAGUUUGAUCCUGGCUCAGGAUGAACGCUAGCGGCAGGCCUAAUACAUGCAAGUCGAGCGGCAAGUUGAGUAGCAAUACUUGACCUAGAGCGGCGCACGGGUGCGUUACGCGUAUGCAACCUACCUUAUACUGUGGGAUAGCCCGGAGAAAUCCGGAUUAAUACCGCAUGGUAUUGAGAGAUGGCAUCAUCACUCAAUUAAAGAUUUAUCGGUAUAAGAUGGGCAUGCGUAGGAUUAGCUAGUUGGUAAGGUAACGGCUUACCAAGGCUACGAUCCUUAGGGGUUCUGAGAGGAAGGUCCCCCACACUGGCACUGAGAUACGGGCCAGACUCCUACGGGAGGCAGCAGUAGGGAAUAUUGGGCAAUGGUCGGAAGACUGACCCAGCUAUGCCGCGUGCAGGAAGACGGCCCUCUGGGUUGUAAACUGCUUUUAUCAGGGAAGAAAAAGGCCAUGCGUGGCAAAUUGCCGGUACCUGAUGAAUAAGCACCGGCUAACUCCGUGCCAGCAGCCGCGGUAAUACGGAGGGUGCGAGCGUUGUCCGGAUUUAUUGGGUUUAAAGGGUGCGUAGGCGGCUGCUUAAGUCAGUGGUAAAAGGCACGGGCUCAACCCGAUGUAAGCCAUUGAUACUGGGCAGCUUGAGUUUUCUGAGAGUACAUGGAAUUGAUGGUGUAGCGGUGAAAUGCAUAGAUACCAUCAGGAACACCGAUAGCGAAGGCAUUGUACUUUGGAGCGACUGACGCUGAUGCACGAAAGCGUGGGUAGCGAACAGGAUUAGAUACCCUGGUAGUCCACGCCGUAAACGAUGAUUACUCGCUGUUAUUCUGUAAUGGAGUAGCGGCUUAGCGAAAGCGUUAAGUAAUCCACCUGGGGAGUACGCCGGCAACGGUGAAACUUAAAUGAAUUGACGGGGGC